CAUGCAAGUCGAGCGGGGAAAGGUAGCUUGCUACCUGACCUAGCGGCGGACGGGUGAGUAAUGCUUAGGAAUCUGCCUAUUAACGGGGGACAACAUCUCGAAAGGGAUGCUAAUACCGCAUACCUCCUACGGGAGAAAGCAGGGGACCUUCGGGCCUUGCGCUAAUAGAUGAGCCUAAGUCGGAUUACCUAGUUGGUGGGGUAAAGGCCUACCAAGGCGACGAUCUGUAGCGGGUCUGAGAGGAUGAUCCGCCACACUGGGACUGAGACACGGCCCACACUCCUACGGGAGGCAGCAGUGGGGAAUAUUGGACAAUGGGGGGAACCCUGAUCCACCCAUGCCGCGUGUGUGAAAAAGGCCUUUUGGUUGUAAAGCACUUUUAGCGAGGAGGAGGCUACCGAGAUUAAUACUCUUGGAUAGUGGACGUUACUCGCAGAAUAAGCACCGGCUAACUCUGUGCCAGCACCCGCGGUAAUACAGAGGGUGCAAGCGUUAAUCGGAUUUACUGGGCGUAAAGCGCGCGUAGGUGGCCCAUUAAGUCAAAUGUGAAAUCCCCGAGCUUAACUUGGGAAUUGCAUUCGAUACUGGUUGGCUAGAGUAUGGGAGAGGAUGGUAGAAUUCCAGGUGUACCGGUGAAAUGCCUAGAGAUCUGGAGGAAUACCGAUGCCGAAGGCACCCCUCUGGCCUAAUACUGACAUUGAAGUGCGAAUUCAUGGGCAGCAAACUGGAUUACAUACCCUGGUAGUCCAUGCCGAAAACCAUGUCAACCAGCUGCUGGGGCCCUUGAAAGCUUUUUUGACACACCUAAAGGGAUAUUCAAACCGCUUGGGGGAGUCCGAUCGCAA
rnacentral:rRNA from 1 species